rnacentral:rRNA from 1 species
CAAAUACCCUAAAAGACCAUCCCAGUUCGGAUUGCAGGCUGCAACCCGCCUGUAUGAAGUUGGAAUCGCUAGUAAUCGCGGAUCAGCAUGCCGCGGUGAAUACGUUCCCGGGCCUUGUACACACCGCCCGUCACACCAUGAGAGUCGGGAACACCCGAAGUCCGUAGCCUAACCGCAAGGGGGGCGCGGCCGAAGGUGGGUUCGAUAAUUGGGGUGAAGUCGUAACAAGGUAUC